rnacentral:rRNA from 1 species
UACGUAGGGGGCAAGCGUUGUCCGGAAUCAUUGGGCGUAAAGAGCGUGUAGGCGGCCCGAUAAGUCCGCCGUGAAAGUCCAGGGCUCAACCCUGGAAUGCCGGUGGAAACUGUCGGGCUGGAGUCCGGAAGAGGCGAGUGGAAUUCCUGGUGUAGCGGUGAAAUGCGCAGAUAUCAGGAGGAACACCGAUGGCGAAGGCAGCUCGCUGGGACGGUACUGACGCUGAGGCGCGAAAGCGUGGGGAGCAAACAGG